ACUAGGCAGAGGCCGCCCGCGGUCAGGCCAGGCCGGGUCCAAUUAGGGGACUCACAGCCUGCCCCGCUGUGCACCCCGAGGAGGCCCGGCCCCUGUGUCCAAUCCGGAAGUCGCAGGGAAGUGGGGAGGUCAGGAUGGUGGCGCCCGCGGCUCGGGUCUUCCUCCGGGCAGUGCGCGCGGCUCUCACUUCCACGGUCCCGGACCUGCUCUGCCUCCUGGCCCGAGGCUCCCCGCGUGGCCUCGCGUCUGGUCGCCUACCCCUCGCGGUCCACUCCGCCCAGCAUGGACCUGGAUCCGGGGCGCCUUGGUUGCGAAUUGCCAGGAGGGCCCUGAGCCAAAGAAUUUAGAACGAGUCUACGUGGACACGCAAGUUUCAGCGAGCGGGGA
rnacentral:lncRNA from 1 species